rnacentral:rRNA from 1 species
ACUCCUACGGGAGGCAGCAGUGGGGAAUUGUUCGCAAUGGGCGCAAGCCUGACGACGCAACGCCGCGUGGGGGAUGAAGGCCUUCGGGUCGUAAACCCCUGUCAGGAGGGAAGAAGCCCGCAAGGGUGACGGUACCUCCAGAGGAAGCCCCGGCUAACUACGUGCCAGCAGCCGCGGUAAU